CAGUCGCCACGGGAAUACAGAGGGUGCGAGCGUUAAUCGGAUUUACUGGGCGUAAAGCGUGCGUAGGCGGCUUUUUAAGUCGGAUGUGAAAUCCCUGAGCUUAACUUAGGAAUUGCAUUCGAUACUGGGAAGCUAGAGUAUGGGAGAGGAUGGUAGAAUUCCAGGUGUAGCGGUGAAAUGCGUAGAGAUCUGGAGGAAUACCGAUGGCGAAGGCAGCCAUCUGGCCUAAUACUGACGCUGAGGUACGAAAGCAUGGGGAGCAAACAGGAUUAGAUACCCCGUAGUCCCUGUCUCUUAUACA
rnacentral:rRNA from 1 species